ensembl:lncRNA
CAGAAAUCUACUUAAUAUGAAAUUUAAGUAUACUUGACUUAUACUUACAAAAAGUCUAAAUAUUUGAGCUAUACUUGUGCUCCUGGUAGGCUACAUAUUUUCAUUAUCAUUUUAGAAUCAGAUAUUGACUGUAAUAAGAAUGCUUCACAUAUUUUUGAAACUUCCCAAAUCUUACAUACGGGGCACAACAUAAGACCCUGAAUGUUUAUUACUACAGUGUCACGUUUCUCAACUAUUUUGGCACACUUCACUCCUCUCUGUUCUCAAGAACUGCCAACACCUGCUUACUACGCGCCGGAGAACACGUAGACCCAGCACACAAAACACAAAAACAGGAUUGUCAUGCGGCUACUGAACAGAUAAAAUUUUUUAAGAAAUAGGCUAGUUCUUGAUCACGUUAUGGACGUCCCAAAUGAAGUAGGCUACUAUUAAAGGAGGGUGUAAACACUUUUCUUUUGCUACGGAUUAAAUGUUGACGUGCUCUUGCUGGAUUUAGACGAAAAGUGUGUUUCUGUGGACAUUGCUUUAAUUCAUCCUUGUGGAUCUUAAAGCUAAUAACACGGUGCUUAUUGUAAGUUUUAUUGUAUUUAGUAAUUGCUUUGUAGUUUUAUUUUUAGGAUUUGUAAAGCUGUAGCAUCUUCUUAAACUGAUGCAGAGACCUUUCGACAUACUUAUUGUUUAUAAGUUGAUAUCUGAAAGACUGGUAUUUUUAUGUAAUGUUAAGAGAGAGAGAAAAAAGAAAAAAGAAAACAAUGCUGUGAUGCAGUUUAUUUACUGAAGUUUGUUUGGGAAAACACAGAAAAGAAGGAAAAAAUAGAGGAGACAAAUGAAGAGGAGGAGGGAUGAACAUUCACAAGCCGGAGGAUCAAAACCAGCAAAUCUGGAGGAUCUUGUUAAAAGGAACAGUAUGGAACUUCCUGCGACUCUGAAAUUCUCUCAGGAUGCAGACAGACCAGAGAGACAUUUUGAAGUAUCAGAAUCAAAGACGAGAUCAUCUGAACACCAACCAGACAAAUCUCUAUGAAUCUCUCACGUUUCUUCAGAUGGAGCUGAAAUUGCUAAUUGUUUCCAGGCCUGGCUCCAUCCAAGCAGGAGUUUCAAAAAUUCACGUUUAUUUAGAAAGUAGAAAGCAUGUAAGUCUUGCCAGUUUACUGUAAAGGAAUUUUCCAUAUUGAUUUUUUUUACACGUGUUUUAUUUUGCAGUUCUAUUUUGUGUUUUAGGGUUAAUGGAAAUGUUUGUAAAAUUAAUGGAUAAUGUCCUAGCAGAAAAUUGAAUAUUACUAGUAUGUUUUCCGUUGUUGUUGUUGUUGUUGUUGUUGUUGUUGUUGUUGUUGUUGUUUUAACAGUGUUUUGGCUGUUUUCUGUGCACACACAGAGAGCACAUAUCAGACAUUACUGAACUUAUCUUAACUGAGUUACAAUAAAAUGUCUUAAAGAAUGUAACUAGUUGGGAGAACAGAGACAGAGACAACAGCUUUAUAAACCUGCUGCUGUCUUGUGUCAUUAAUGUUUAUUGGAAAAAAAAAUCUGAAGCUAAUUUAAGAUUCAUUUUAACACUAAUUUUAAUCUUAUAUCUUUAAUAAGGAUUAAGCUAUAUUUAAUUUAUCAUUAUAGUAUUUCAUACCUGAAUAUACUGCUAAACUUACAGCAGUUUUGCUUUCAUUUGUAUCCUUGUUCAGCUGUAUUUAUUUGCACUAUUGGUUGUAAUUUAUUCAUUAAUUGUUCUCCUUUAAUUACUGACUUGUCUUUUUUUUUUUUUUUUUUUUUUUUUUUUUAUUGCCCACCAGGAAUGUUCAUUGGUCCCACCUUACAUGUAUUCAAAUAUAUUGUGUGCAUGUAAAUAUUGUGUAUACUGUAUGUACAAUCUGCUUUAGAAAUUUGUUAUAAAGAGUAACUUUGUUGUAAAGAUGUAAAAUGUUACUGCAGUAUAUUGAUGCGUAAUGCCACAGGAUAAAGUAUCAAAUAUGACAGAUGCUCUUCGUUAUACAGUAGGUCACGUGAUUAAAGACAGAAUGUUUUCCGGUCCGUUGAUGAUAACACAUCAUGUGUAACUAGUGUAUAUUUCUAUACUUUAUCAUAAAUCUGAUUUUAAACCUUUUAGAGAAGUAUGUGUCUUUGACAUAAAAACAUCUGAUGACAGCUAUAAAUAAUUUUUUUUUAAUUAUUUCUCACUGAUUGCUUCAUGACAGUGAUAAAGGAUGAAAUAUCUGAUAAUUCUACAGCUGAUCAUUUCUUUAUUAUAUGAUCAUUAUUCAUCAUCAGUACAAAAACAAACUGUUUGAAUUAUUCACCAAAUCACAGAGUAAGUCUGAGGACCGCAAGUAUCUAUUUAAAGUAUGAUUCAACCAAAAAUAAAAUCUUAUCAUAAUUUCCUCACCCUCAUGUCCUCAUUGUUCCAGUAUUGCUUUGGCACACAGAACUAAAUGCCUCAAUGUUUAUAUGGUCUCACAUUUAGAUUUUAGAAGGGUAGAAAAAAUUAUUGUGUAGCAUAACCUUGUACAUGCUAUAUGUAAAUCAAGAACAUUUUGCAAAGAGACAUGCAAAAAAAGCGAGAACAGCCACAUCAAAAUCAGAAAAAUUCCCCUGAAGCAAACAAUUUUGUAUACAGUAGCCUAAUGAAAGAUUCCUGAAUGUCUAACACUGAGUGAAGUCCAUAUCACCUGCUUCAACAUGUUCCUUCCUGGGAGAAGAAGGCUAAAGAGACAUAUUUAUAUGUGAAAAUAUUUAGGAAUGUGAAUCACACCCAUACUACCACCCACCCACACACACACACACACACACACACACGUUUGUUUCUGUGAAUUGUGGGGACUUUCCAUAGACUUCUAUUACUUUUAUACUGACCAAAUUAUAUUUUCUAUCCCCUAACCCAACCCAAACACUAAACUUAUUUGCAGUGUUAAACUUUCAGAUAAACAUCAUUUACUAUUACUAUUAAUAAUUAAUAGUAAUUACUAUUUGUAAUAAUUUUUCCCCCUCGUUGUCCCCUCAAUGUCAAAAAUUUCAGAUUUUACUCUCCUUGUGGGGACAUUUGGUCCUUAUAAUGUAGCAUAAACAAGCACACACACACACACACACACACACACACACACACACACACAUAUCUGUGAUACUAAAUACCAAAAUAAUAUUUUUUACAUAUUAUCUAACAUUGCAACAUUGCAAACAACAAUACAAUCAGAAAAGGACUUUAACUGUAAGCGACACAAGCAUAAAGAAAAUAAAGGGAACAAUAGCCUAAAAUCUUCAAUUUGUUAAUAUUUCAAAUUUUAUAUGAAUUUGCAUGUACAUUUUUUAAUCAGUUUAUUAGUUUACUCGGGCUUGUUGCCUUCAACAUUCUCAAUGACCAAAAAUCUAAGAUGUGUUUAAGGGGAAUUUCAAAAUUUGCUUUGCGUGAGAAAGCACAUUUUAGUUUUUCUUUUGUUUCAUUUUUUUUGUUUUUUCUUUUGAUUUAGUCGAGUUAGUUUUGCAUUAAACACAAUGUGAAUAAUAGCACAUUUUCCUGAUCGCUUUGCUGACAGCUUAUCUCGUGCAUAUCUCCUGCAUCCCAGCAAACCAGCUAGAAUGCUCUACAGUCCUGAUGAGUCACAGCAAUGGAGCCGAG